AUUGAACGCUGGCGGCAGGCCUAACACAUGCAAGUCGAGCGGAUGAUGGGAGCUUGCUCCUUGAUUCAGCGGCGGACGGGUGAGUAAUGCCUAGGAAUCUGCCUGGUAGUGGGGGACAACGUUUCGAAAGGAACGCUAAUACCGCAUACGUCCUACGGGAGAAAGCAGGGGACCUUCGGGCCUUGCGCUAUCAGAUGAGCCUAGGUCGGAUUAGCUUGUUGGUGAGGUAAUGGCUCACCAAGGCGACGAUCCGUAACUGGUCUGAGAGGAUGAUCAGUCACACUGGAACUGAGACACGGUCCAGACUCCUACGGGAGGCAGCAGUGGGGAAUAUUGGACAAUGGGCGAAAGCCUGAUCCAGCCAUGCCGCGUGUGUGAAGAAGGUCUUCGGAUUGUAAAGCACUUUAAGUUGGGAGGAAGGGCAGUAAGUUAAUACCUUGCUGUUUUGACGUUACCGACAGAAUAAGCACCGGCUAACUCUGUGCCAGCAGCCGCAGUAACAC
rnacentral:rRNA from 1 species